rnacentral:rRNA from 1 species
CUGCCUACGGGAGGCAGCAGUAGGGAAUCCUCCACAAUGGACGAAAGUCUGAUGGAGCAACGCCGCGUGAGUGAAGAAGGGUUUCGGCUCGUAAAGCUCUGUUGGUAGUGAAGAAAGAUAGAGGUAGUAACUGGCCUUUAUUUGACGGUAAUUACUUAGAAAGUCACGGCUAACAACGUGCCAGCAGCCGCGGUAAUACGUAGGUGGCAAGCGUUGUCCGGGUUUAUUGGGCGUAAAGCGAGUGCAGGCGGUUCAAUAAGUCU